rnacentral:rRNA from 1 species
UACGAAGGGGGCUAGCGUUGUUCGGAAUCACUGGGCGUAAAGGGCGCGUAGGCGGCCUGAUAAGUCGGGGGUGAAAGCCUGUGGCUCAACCACAGAAUUGCCUUCGAUACUGUUAGGCUUGAGACCGGAAGAGGUAAGUGGAACUGCGAGUGUAGAGGUGAAAUUCGUAGAUAUUCGCAAGAACACCAGUGGGGAAGGCGGCUUACUGGUCCGGUUCUGACGCUGAGGCGCGAAAGCGUGGGGAGCAAACAGG